rnacentral:misc_RNA from 1 species
CGGACUACAAGGGUUUCUAAUCCUGUUUGCUCCCCACGCUUUCGUACAUGAGCGUCAGUAUUGAGCCAGUGAGCCGCCUUCGCCACCGGUGUUCCUCCUAAUAUCUACGAAUUUCACCUCUACGCUAGGAAUUCCACUCACCUCUCUCAAUCUCUAGCUUGCCAGUUUUGGAGGCAGUUCCGGGGUUGAGCCCCGGGAUUUCACCCCCAACUUGACAAGCCGCCUGCGUACCCUUUACGCCCAGUAAAUCCGAACAACGCUAGCCCCCUUCGUAUUACCGCGGCUGCUGGCACG